UACGAAGGGGGCUAGCGUUGUUCGGAUUUACUGGGCGUAAAGCGCACGUAGGCGGAUCGUUAAGUCGGGGGUGAAAUCCUGGAGCUCAACUCCGGAACUGCCUUCGAUACUGGCGAUCUUGAGUCCGGAAGAGGUGAGUGGAACUCCUAGUGUAGAGGUGGAAUUCGUAGAUAUUAGGAAGAACACCAGUGGCGAAGGCGGCUCACUGGUCCGGUACUGACGCUGAGGUGCGAAAGCGUGGGGAGCAAACAGG
rnacentral:rRNA from 1 species